GACCUAUUUUUUGGGGAUUCCGCCUUGCGUCGAAAAUACGAAUCCACUACUAAAAAACAAAAAGAACAGAAGCGAAGAGCUAAAGCUUCCUCAACUGCAAUUGCGAAUCCCAUGUACACACGACAGGGAGGAAAUCCAAGAAAUGUGCAGCAAUCUCAAUUUAUUGGAGACAAAAACAAGGAGGGACAAGAACACCAAUUGAAUGACUUUA